CGUACAUUAUCAGCAGCUUGAUCAUCUUGAACCUGUUGAUUCUUACAGCGUCGUGCAUCGGCGUGUCUCCGUCCUGAGGAACAAGACAGCUCCACAGUGAAUCAGCUGCUCGGCACAUUCACAGUGUCCGGUCCUCACUGCGACGUGGAGGGGUGUGCUGAGGAGCUGAGGUGUAGAAAACGGGAAGGAGGAGGAAAACAUAGGAGAGGGGGCAGGACACGAGAGGAAAGUGGAGGAGGAGCUGCAAAGCUGCUACAUUGCCCCCCCUGCAGGCCCAGUGGACAGCUGUGGCAUCCAGCUAAAACACACAAAUAUGAGACAUUUCAUGACGUCUGUGUGUCCUUUGAAGGAAGCUUUGUGUAGAGCAUUUCUCUGGAACUGGGAUUACAAAUAAGAACAAAAGCAGAUGAGUACAUUUGAAAUCAAUCAAAGUAUUUUCUGAGGGCACACGUCUGUUUCAAGCUGGUUCAGACUGCAGGGGGCACUGUCACGACCUUGGCUGCCAUAA